AUUGAACGCUGGCGGCAUGCCUCACACAUGCAAGUCGAACGGUAACAGGGAGCUUGCUCCGCUGACGAGUGGCGAACGGGUGAGUAAUGUAUCGGAACGUACAUUUUAGUGGGGGAUAACGUAGCGAAAGUUACGCUAAUACUGCAUAUUAUCUGAGGAGGAAAUCAGGGGGCCUUCGGGCCUUGCGCUAAUAGAGCGGCUGAUAUCAGAUUAGCUAGUUGGUGAGGUAAAGGCUCACCAAGGCGGCGAUCUGUAGGGGGUCUGAGAGGAUGAUCCGGCACACUGGAACUGAGACACGGUCCAGACUCCUACGGGGGGAAGCAGUGGGGAAUUUUGGACAAUGGGGGCAACCCUGAUCCAGCCAUGCCGCGUGAGUGAAGAAGGCCUUCGGGUUGUAAAGCUCUUUCGGCCGGGAAAAAAUCGCAUGGGUUAAUACCCUGUGUGGAUGAUGGUACCGGAAUAAGAAGCACCGGCUAACUACGUGCCAGCAGCCGCAGUAAAAC
rnacentral:rRNA from 1 species